GUAUAAACGAGGAGCGAUUAGAAGCUAGACGCUUCGCCCUAUGGUUUCAAGAGCUGAUGGAGUGUGAUUCAGGGUACUCGUCAGUUGACUCGUCAGCUGACUCGUUAUUGGCGUACCGCGAUUAGUACGAGAUAUACAAACGGGCGGGGGAAGAACACGCAAUACACAGGGGAACGAGGCUUUCGGGGAUGUGCAACCCCCGGGAGGGCGGAUCAUCAUCACGCACGAUACAACCCGUUAUUUCAAACGUUUUCAACUACGUGGUCGAGAUAACAUGCGUAUCCGCCAA